rnacentral:rRNA from 1 species
UACGUAGGGGGCAAGCGUUAUCCGGAUUUACUGGGUGUAAAGGGAGCGCAGGCGGUAGAUCAAGUCUGAUGUGAAAACCCGAGGCUCAACCUCGGGAUUGCAUUGGAAACUAUACGACUAGAGUGCAGGAUAGGUAAGUGGAAUUCCUAGUGUAGCGGUGAAAUGCGUAGAUAUUAGGAGGAACAUCAGUGGCGAAGGCGGCUUACUGGACGAUAACUGACGCUGAGGCUCGAAGGCGUGGGGAGCAAAC